rnacentral:rRNA from 1 species
UACGUAGGGGGCUAGCGUUGUCCGGAAUCAUUGGGCGUAAAGCGCGCGUAGGCGGCCCGGUAAGUCCGCUGUGAAAGUCCAGGGCUCAACCUUGGAAAGCCGGUGGAUACUGCCGGGCUAGAGUCCGGGAGAGGUGAGUGGAAUUCCUAGUGUAGAGGUGAAAUUCGUAGAUAUUAGGAAGAACACCAGUGGCGAAGGCGGCUCACUGGCCCGGUACUGACGCUGAGGCGCGAAAGCGUGGGGAGCAAACAGG